AUGUUCACCAUGUACCGCCAAGACAAUAGCGACCAAGAGUUCAAGUUACUCCAUGUGUUCUCCCGGAUCGAGAAGUGCGAGAAGUGGAUCCAUGUCCAGGGUACGCUCGCCAAGGUGAAGGAGACGUACAAGCCGGAUGCGCUCGCCCCGGGCCCAAGGGACGGGAGCCCUGACAUCAACAAAAGAGCCAAGACGGCGAAGGACGCCGCUCCGGCUACCGAGUGGCUGCACUCGUCGAUCGAGAGUGCAUCGCAGACGCCAAGAACCAUGCCGCGGAAAGGGAGGAGAAGUCCGAUGCAUGGUGGUUGGUAUUGA
rnacentral:rRNA from 1 species